rnacentral:misc_RNA from 1 species
UGUGUCAACUUCCACAGAGUCC